UUUUUUUUUUUUUUUUUUUUUUUUUGGUGCGCUGAACCAGAUUGUAAGAAAGGAGCUAGAGAGGAAAGCUUUCUUCCUAGCUCAGAGAUACCUGUCACUGGAGAUAAAAAAAAAAAAAAAAAAAAAAAAUACGGAACAGGUUGGAACAGUGAUUAUUCUGGUUUCCAAAUGCGUUGGGUCAGGAAGGCGCCUAUUGGCGUAUUUUAUUUUAUUUGAAAUUGUUUUUAUUAUACUUGAUUUACAAUGUUCUGUCCAUUUCUGCUGUACAGCAAAGUGCCCCAGUCAUAUCGCAGGACCUCACCCAUUUGCAUAUUUUAAACUCCUCCCCCUUCCCCUUUGGCCUUUAUUGGGAUGGAGGAGGGGGAGGCACACCCCGAGCUGGCAGUGGUCAGCGUGGGUAACCCUCAGCUUCUGUUUAAGUUCACUUCCCUUUCCGCAUCCCUCGCCUUAUGCCUGGUUGGAUGAACGGAUGCUCUUGGAGAUGCUGGAUGCACAGAGGCCGUGAAGAGCAGCGUGGCGCUGACUCCCAGACAAGUCAUGGAAUGGUUCUGACUCCGGAUUCCUUAAGAUUGGGAGAGGCUGGGGUGGAGGACUGGGUCUGUCACCCCCACCACAGCUUCCCAAGGGGCCCCCAGCUGGCAAAUGGCCUUCCUGAAGGCCGUGGCUACACCCUUCUCCCAAAGACUUCCCAGAGCUGUCAUAGGGUCCCUAGGGUUUACCUGGGUCAAGAGUUGGUGACAUUGUGAGACCCUUCCCCUUUUGGAAUGCGUGCACUUUCUCACAGCCCAGUCUUCCAAGGGCUGAUGGGUAUGGAUCUUAUUCUGGGGGGGGAGGUGAGAAUCUCAUUCAAAAGACCUGAUUGGGGAGUCCCCUUUGUGGCUCAGGGGUAACAACCCAACUGGUAUCCAUGAGGACUGGGGUUCGAUCCCUGGCCUCACUCAGUGGGUUAAGGAUCUGGUAUUGCUGUGAACUGUGGCGUGGGUCGCAGACAAGGCUUAGAUCGGGCGUUGCUGUGGCUUUGGCAUAGGCCGGCAGCUACAGCUUCAAUUCAACCCCUAGCCUGGGAACUUCCAUAUGCCUCGAGCAUGGCCCUAAAAAUUGGGGGUGGGGGGAAGACCUGAUCAACAUGGGAGUGAUGCUGGAUGCGGGUGUAAAUGAGUGAACUGCACAGAACUGGGUGCCUCGCUUGGAUCCAAAAAUAUGCCUCUGGCCCUGUGCCUGAUGGGAUGAGCCUUGAUAGACUUUUCCAGAACCGAGGAGGAGGAAGGUCAAAAGAUUCACCCCAACCUUGUGCCCAGGUUCCCUUGAGAGCAUACUAGAAAUUAAUAUUCAACAGUCUGAUGCUGUGAGAGAGGCUGUGUCCUUGUGGGUGGACCUGGUUUGGGGAAUGCUGCGAUUCAGGUGGGUCCAUUCAAGCCGCCCGACCUCCCUCAGCAAAUUAAUGGUGACAGUGAUGGAGGGGGGCCUCUGGCCCCCGCCUGGAAUAAGGUCCCCUGGUUGCCCGAAAGGUACCCGCAGGGAGUGGAGGCCAGAGAAGGGAAGCCCGGCCAGGGGGAGGGUUCCAGCCCGGGCAAAGUGCUACAGAAGCAAAAUCCAUUUGUGGCGGCUUCGUGCCUGCCGUCAGGGUUGGGCGCUCCGGGGUCAGGAAUGCUUUGAGUGAGAGGCGCUGGGGGGGGACCAGCCCUCCACGGGGGAUGCUGGGCUCUCCAGGGAGGGAAGACCUCAUCCGGGCUGCAGCCCAUUCUCAGUUCCGCUCUAUUUAGAACGCGAGCUUUUGUGUGUGUGUGUGUGUGUGGAAAGCAGAUUGCUGAGGAGGAAAGCUCAGGCCCAGUGGGGAGAAGGCUGGUGCUGCUGUGGCUCCUAGAGUCGGGGGUGGAGGGCAGGAGAGAGAAAGGCAGAGACUCAGAGCAGGAGGCCCCAGCCCAGUCACCUUCGCUUCACCUCUCUCCAUCUGUCCCGUCCAUCACCUCCCGCUCCAGCCCUGUAGCCCAUCUUGGGGCAGAGAGCAUCCGAAACUCUUUUGCCAAGUGAGAUAGGCAAGCCACAUUGUAAAUACCAGAGUCCCUCUGACAGAAAGCCCCUGUGCACCAAAUACCCGCUUCUGCAGUGUAUGCUGCUGUGUAGACACAAGACACAGCUGGCUAGGCUGCCCCGGUGUGGAAUGACCUAGGAGGUGAUUCUCUUCUGGAAAUACGGGCAGCCCGGACUAAAGGUGGUUCCCAGACAUCACGGAGGGACAGCAGGGAUGGCAGGUGUUGGACACUUGACUUCCAGGUCAUGGCUAGUCCUCCCCUCCCCCACCAAAGGGACAGCUGUGUCAAAUGCAGCCAAUACUGUGGGCAGAGAGAGUGGUGGGUGGCCAGCCAUGGGGUCUCUGCGUCUCGAAGAACCCUCACCCAUCUCUUGCCCUCUACUCAGCCUUUGUCUAGGAAGAGAAACGUGAUGUUUGAGGAGUGACUCCCACCGCCCUGCUUCAACUCCCUUUGUGUGGCCCAAACUCAGCCUCUGUCCACCGGGGCCGAAUAGAAACUCCAAGGCAGGGUUUGGGGUGAAGGAGAGAAAGAUAGCGUUCACGGCUUUGCCAGGCACACGGGGCCACAGCAGGCUAAUGCCUUAAAGACUGUGCCCACCAUGGGAGAGAUUGGGAGGUGACUUUAUAGUUUGGGAGUGAAAAAUAGGGCCUCAGAUGAGGAUCAGGGCAGAUGCAAGCUUUCAUUGUUCUCCAAAGCUGGCGAUUCCUCUUUCCGGAAUGAAGACUAACUACGUCAUUAAGGUCUUCCACGUGUUGUGGGUUUGAGUUCUGCCGAAGAACUCAAAAGACAUGGUUCUCUCUGGAUUCCUGGAGGAGGAACCAGGACCCUACGGAAGGAAGGCUGCACUGUUGUCUCUUGAAUGUUCCUCCCUAGAAUGUCCCCUCCCUGCCUUGAUUAGCAGCUGUUUGAACCUGCUCUUUGGAACUCGGGAAGGUCGUGGAGGCUGAAGCGUACUCCCUCAAAACAAGAAAUGGAGGCCCCAGCAUGGCUCGUGUGCCCAGGAGCCCCACAGGGCCCUGCUUGGUUUCGAUUGGGCCCAGUGAGAUGGGCGGCUCAGCCAAGUGGACCCCAACUGGCCUCCCAGAUGUCCCUUCUCUGCAGAAUUCUUCCUCGAUGUGGGCCAUAGUCCCUCUCCUUUCCCGGCCAAGGCAACUUUGAGACCAAUGGCGACUGUUCUUCCAGAACUUUCAAACAGCAGAGCUCUGUACCUGCGUUGCUCACAGAUCUUAAGGCCUUCCUAACCCACAGGAUGCUGGGCGUGUGGGUCUGGAGGCCGGUGGGUGGCGUCCUGCUGAGGGCCUGGUGCCACGAAGCCACUGAUGACCAGCACUUGGUCACAUGCGUGAGAGGCCACAUUCCUUUCCAGCUGGCCAGCUCUCUGGCCCUUCAGAGCCCUGCCGGGAGCCCAGAGGUGACUUUUAAACUCAGCUGUGCCCCUGAUCGGAAACCACUGGUUCCCAGCCAGGCUCAACGUUGUCCCUUUACCCCUACCCCGGGGGCUAUGUGCAAUGUCUGGAGCUAUUUCUGGUUGUCACAGCCAGAGGGGAGGGUACCAUUGGCAUCUCACGAGUGGGUGGUGGCCAGGGAUGCUGCUAAGCAUCCGACAAUGCACACACAGGACAGGCCCCCCGCCACAAAGAAUUAUCCAGCCCUACAUGUCAGUAGUGUCAGGAUGGAGAAACUGUGGGGUUUUUUUCAGCCUCUGCUGCCAGUUUGAACCAAGCUUGAACCCUAAUCCCGCUCACCCUCUCCCCAUGGCUUUAUUUAUCAAAGGGGGGCGGGAAAUCUGUUAUUUUUUCCAAGUGCAUUUCCCCCUGUAUCUUAUCAAGAACCACCAAGUUCAGCACACCCUUGAUUAGUCACUUCCAUUAACACUGUUUAUUUUGGGGUUUGUGUUUAUUUUUGAAACGUGGUCACCCCCCCCACACACACACACACACUAGAGGUGCACGGCCAGCUUUUUAGCCCCAUCUUGUCCCCGCUUUCCUUCAUCCCCCAACCCCCUGGGCCGACUUCAGAGGACGCCUCUGCUCCCUCUCUUCCUCGUCUGGGGGAGGAUGGAGGAGGCCGCCACUCCUGGAGAUUCAUGUAAAAGCAGCGAUUGGGCCAUUGUCCUUUUUCCCUCUGAUUUCUCAGAUGUGUUUGAAAAUCCUUUUCAUCGGUGACUCUGUAGACCAGCCAACCGGUGACAGAGCCGGGGACUUUAUUCCCGGCCGUCGGCAUUCCGUGAAACCAAGGACACUCAGUGGCUUUUGCCACUGAGUCAGAGGCAGGGAGAUUUUUGACUCGUGGGUCCCCCCUUGCUUCUCCCCCGCACCCCUCUUCACUGCAGGCUGGUCUCCGGGCUCUCUUGAAGUGUUUCUGAGUCACAGAGAGCUGAUCCCCGGGGCAUCCUACCCACCCACCCAGCCACCCUCCCAAACGGCAGAGGGAUUUCAGGGCUUACGGCUGAGGAACUGGGAGCUUACCUGGCAUCUCUGCACAGCUUUGGGAGGGUGGCCUCUCUGACUGAGCACCACCCACCCUCCCUGCAGCUCAGCCAGCAGCCACAACCUCCCCAGAAGGUGACUUACAGAACCCUUCAGCCCCUCCCCUGUUUGGGGGGUAGAAGGAGGGUGUCGCAUUGCUCAUCUUGCACAGAAAGAAGCACUGGCCCGAUAUCUGCAGAGACCCAGCCCAAGGAUGCUUCCAGGCAGGCAAGCUGCACUGGAGGCCCAGGGUACCGCCCCUUCCCGCCGCCAUACUCUUUCCUGGGACAUUUAUUUGAAUACCACCAGGGAGCUGGUUACUUUGGGGUAUUUAUUUGCUUAAACAUGGGUGGUUCCUACAGAGGAGGGGGUCGGGUUUCAAGGUUGGAGGAGGGUUGCAAACAGAGGGUGGGUGGUCUGGACAAGCCAUGGAGGUCAGAGAACCCAGGCCUUUUAGGUUUGGAGGCGAAAAUGCUGCAUGACGGUGGCCUCCUGGCUGGCCCAGUCAUGGUGAUCUGUCAGACAGAGGGACCCGGGGUGUACGUGUUCCGGAAUGGAGACGGCCUUUUUAUAGAUGGUUAAGAGAGCAUUUGGAAAUCACUGGGCAAUUAUUCAGGGGGAACCACGCUUCUGAAUUUAUCCCGAGGGCUUUGAUGACAAUCUGAGAGCCCUGGGGAGGAGCCCAGGUGCAGGCUGGGCUGGUUCUAACUGCAGCUCCACCCCAGGGGUUCUGAAAUACUCCUAAAGAGCUCGGGGCACUACCGGCCGGGGAGAACCUCUUUCCUAAAAGAGCUUAAGUCUUUGACCAGAAUGAACUGUCCUGCCUUGGGUCCUGGGGCCAGCCUCCUUUCCAUGUUAAACUAGCAGAAAAACAUCACUAGUAUUUUGGAGUUCCCUUGGUGGCGCAGUGGUGACUGAAUCCAACUAGGAGCCAUGAGGUUGCGGGUUCGACCCCUGGCCUUGCUCAGUGGGUUAAGGAUUUGGCGUUGCUGUGAGCUGUGGUCUAGUUUGCAGAUGUGGCUUGGAUCCCGUGUUGCUGUGGCUCUGGCAUAGGCUGGCAGCUAUAGCUCCGAUUAGACCCCUAGCCUGGGAACCUCCAUAUGCCACAGGAGCGGCCUAGAAAUGGCAAAAA
rnacentral:lncRNA from 1 species